AUCUACAAACAUAGACAUAUCUCAGCCUUUAAGACCGAAACCUGGCCGCCGUCUUUAAUAUUUACGCGGUCAAAGCAGAGGAUUGGUUUUGCUGGAAAACUAUGCUCUACCAGUCAUGUGUUGGUAGAGCUCGCAUGGAAACACAGCACUCAAAAGAACAUACGCGAUGUGCGUGUGUAUGGUCACCUAAUCCUGAGGAGCUCCAGGGGAAAAGAAAGGACAGGCCAAAAAGGCAAACAACGAGGACAAAUAAGGCUCUCGGGUCUAACUCCGGAUAAAUUCACAAACAGGGAUCCACUAUUGGGCCGGGCCUGGAGGGCUAUUAUAGCCCGGCUGAAGACUUCUUGCCGGAGGUCAGCGGCUAUACGGAUCUCUACACAGGAAAACUGGCGCACUAGGUGAGUUGCGCAAGGGCAGUCUGAGAUUCGGCCGCCCGUAAAAACGGCGGUACUUCUCAACGCCGCGAUGCGACGGCUGGAAGUCACCGAGAUGAGGUGGACGUGGUAGACCGGAACGGACUCACCGGGAAAUGCUCGAUGUCGUCGGCGUUGUCUGCGAAAUGCGUUUAUUGCUGGCCGUCUGCGCGGGUCGAACGGACACCGGUUGCUGGCAGCCAAGUCGGGGCUGCACUUCCAGCUGCAUCUGCCUGGUUGGACAAUAUGGCUGCGAAUAUCUUGAUAUCUGCUGAUCAUCGAUCCUACCCCCGCCAUAUUACAUGGCCUCUCUCAAAAUUGGGUCAUUGGAUACAUUAAGGUAAUCCCAGAGCGAACCGGGAUUAAUCCUCAAAUGGCCAGAUCGCCCGCCAGAUUCAUCCCGCUGCUGCAACUAGCGCCCUAUCGAUAAAGACCCUCCCAUAAUCGACUCCAAUUGCAACAUGGUUAAUCUUACAAUGAGUGUAUAAAAGGUAUUAAAACUAGUUCAUUAUCAUCAUACGACAGGUGCAGAUAUUUAAAAACAAUAUCUGUAACUGGAUAAGAUUCAAUGGCUUCCAUCAGUGGUGGAAUCAUCCGAAUAAAUCGCUAUUGACGAACUUGCCAUUGGCACAGUGAAAAAAUCUCGUUUGUUUGCAAAUUGCUGACCCUUAAUAUAACAGGUUUAUUCUGAAUUUAUUCAAUAUUCUGAACGUUUU